GAUGAACGCUGGCGGCGUGCCUAAUACAUGCAAGUCGAGCGAACGGACGAGAAGCUUGCUUCUCUGAUGUUAGCGGCGGACGGGUGAGUAACACGUGGAUAACCUACCUAUAAUACUGGGAUAACUUCGGGAAACCGGAGCUAAUACCGGAUAAUAUUUUGCACCGCAUGGUUCAAAAGUGAAAGACGGUCUUGCUGUCACUUAUAGCUGGAUCCGCGCUGCAUUAGCUAGUUGGUAAGGUAACGGCUUACCAAGGCAACGAUGCAUAGCCGACCUGAGAGGGUGAUCGGCCACACUGGAACGGAGACACGGUCCAGACUCCUACGGGAGGCAGCAGUAGGGAAUCUUCCGCAAUGGGCGAAAGCCUGACGGAGCAACGCCGCGUGAGUGAUGAAGGUCUUCGGAUCGUAAAACUCUGUUAUUAGGGAAGAACAUAUGUGUAAGUAACUGUGCACAUCUUGACGGUACCUAAUCAGAAAGCCACGGCUAACUACGUG
rnacentral:rRNA from 1 species